rnacentral:rRNA from 1 species
GAUGAACGCUGGCGGCGUGCCUAAUACAUGCAAGUCGAGCGAAUGGAUUAAGAGCUUGCUCUUAUGAAGUUAGCGGCGGACGGGUGGGUAACACGUGGGUAACCUGCCCAUAAGACUGGGAUAACUCCGGGAAACCGGGGCUAAUACCGGAUAACAUUUUGAACCGCAUGGUUCGAAAUUGAAAGGCGGCUUCGGCUGUCACUUAUGGAUGGACCCGCGUCGCAUUAGCUAGUUGGUGAGGUAACGGCUCACCAAGGCAACGAUGCGUAGCCGACCUGAGAGGGUGAUCGGCCACACUGGGACCGAGACACGGCCCAGACUCCUACGGGAGGCAGCAGUAGGGAAUCUUCCGCAAUGGACGAAAGUCUGACGGAGCAACGCCGCGUGAGUGAUGAAGGCUUUCGGGUCGUAAACUCUGUUGUUAGGGAAGAACAAGUGCUAGUUGAAUAAGCUGGCACCUUGACGGUACCUAACCAGAAAGCCACGGCUAACUACGUGCCAGCCGCCGCGGUAA